UGCGGAGGAGGCAAGCGUUAUCCGGAAUUAUUGGGCGUAAAGCGUCCGCAGGUGGCGAUUCAAGUCUGCGGUUAAAGACUGGGGCUUAACCCUGGAAAGGCCGUGGAAACUGAAACGCUAGAGUGCAGUAGGGGUAGAGGGAAUUCCCGGUGUAGCGGUGAAAUGCGUAGAGCUCGGGAAGAACAUCGGUGGCGAAAGCGCUCUGCUGGACUGCAACUGACACUCAGGGACGAAAGCUAGGGGAGCGAAUGGG
rnacentral:rRNA from 1 species